UCUCUUUUUAGAAUGUGAUCUAGUAAAAUGUGAGUGGUCCCAGCAGAACCAGCACUGCCAGGAGGACCAGAUUCUCUUUGCUUCCCCAGUGAACAAUUCCUGCUGUGUCCGGCACUUCUGUGGUAAGAAUCGUGGCAACGUGCCACUGACUGCUCCUAGGAUAGAGUGGAGGGAAGGAAUUACUCAUGGCACCAUGGCACUGUCUGCUCCUAGUAUAGAGAGGAGGGAAGAAUAUCUUGUGUCACCAUGGUACUGACUCAGUGGCGUAACUAGAUAUUACUGGGUCCCACAGCUAAUUUUUUUCCAGGCCCCCAAGCUUGCAGCACAUUAUCAGGAAUACUCCUGCUGCCCCAGAUAUUCCUGUAGUAAGUACAGCUGGGGGCCACACUGCCAGUAUGAGUCCAAUAUGACUCAAAUCUGUACCUCCAUUCUCUUUUUAGAAUGUGAUCUAGUAAAAUGUGAGCGGUCCCAGCAGAACCAGCACUGCCAGGAGGACCAGAUUCUCUUUGCUUCCCCAGUGAACAAUUCCUGCUGUGUCCGGCACUUCUGUGCUGGAGAAAUCUUUAUGGUGGAGGGAAACAGUACAGAACUCUGCUGCCCUUCCUAUAAUGUGUGUGUGACGGCUCUCAGUGCCCUGAUAUUACAGUAGAUGUGACUUUGGGAUGUCGGCCGUGGAGAUUUGGACCCCUGACACCUGUUGCCCUUACAGAACCUGUGAAUGUUCCUGUAAUAAACUCCCGGUACCAGACUGCAAACUGUCUUGGAAUUACACAAUCACAGCACACAGAACCAAGUAUAUGAACCCCCAAGAGACCUGGCCACGUGCUGUGGGAACUGCUGCAAUGUUUCCUGCCUCCAGACCUUACUGAAUGGGACGCUGCUCAGUCACAGGGUUUUGGGCCAUCGCCUUCCACAAUGGUCUUGACUGCACAAGCUUUUCUGAGCAGCUACAGGCAAACUGGAGGACACUCGGCACCCUGAGAACUGCUGAUCAAUCCCAUGUCGUAGGGAUACAAACAACUCCCUGGACAGCAGGCAAAUAUCACUGGGCAAAUGAGUGCUUCAGAGUA